GAUGAACGCUAGCGGCAGGCUUAAUACAUGCAAGUCAAGGGGGUAGCAAUACAACCGGCGCACGGGUGAGUAACGCGUACACAACAUACCAUAUACUGGGGUAUAGCUUCGGGAAACUGGAGAUAAUCCCCCAUAACAUUGCGAGAGGGCAUCUGAUUGCAAUUAAAGUUUCGACGGUAUAUGAUUGGUGUGCGUUUGAUUAGCUUGUUGGUAGGGUAACGGCCUACCAAGGCGACGAUCAAUAGCUGGCGUGAGAGCGCGACCAGCCACACUGGAACUGAGACACGGUCCAGACUCCUACGGGAGGCAGCAGUAGGGAAUAUUGGACAAUGGGCGAAAGCCUGAUCCAGCCAUGCCGCGUGAUAGAUGAAGGCCCUCUGGGUUGUAAAUAUCUUUUAUCUGGGAAGAAACUCCUCUAUUCUUAGAGGCCUGACGGUACCAGAGGAAUAAGCACCGGCUAACUCCGUGCCAGCAGCCGCGGUAAAGUAUCG
rnacentral:rRNA from 1 species